GAUGAACGCUAGCUACAGGCUUAACACAUGCAAGUCGAGGGGUAACGAGAGGGAAGCUUGCUUUCCUUGUCGACGACCGGCGGAUGGGUGAGUAACGCGUAUCCAACCUGCCCUUCAGUAAGGGAUAGCCUUUCGAAAGAAAGAAUAAUACCUUAUGUGGUCGUCAGAAGACAUCAGACGACGAUCAAAGAUUUAUCGCUGAAGGAUGGGGAUGCGUCCCAUUAGGCAGUAGGCGGGGUAACGGCCCACCUAACCUACGAUGGGUAGGGGUUCUGAGAGGAAGGUCCCCCACAUUGGAACUGAGACACGGUCCAAACUCCUACGGGAGGCAGCAGUGAGGAAUAUUGGUCAAUGGCCGUAAGGCUGAACCAGCCAAGUAGCGUGCAGGAUGACGGCCCUAUGGGUUGUAAACUGCUUUUAAACGGGGAUAAAGUGAGCCACGUGUGGUUUAUUGCAGGUACCGUUUGAAUAAGGACCGGCUAAUUCCGUGCCAGCAGCCGCGGUAA
rnacentral:rRNA from 1 species